rnacentral:rRNA from 2 species
AGGUGCAAUCAUACCAGCACUAAUGCACCGGAUCCCAUCAGAACUUCGCCGUGAGGCGUGCUUGGGCGAGAGUAGUACUAGGAUUGGUGACCUCCUGGGAAGUCCUCGUGUUGCACCGC